rnacentral:lncRNA from 1 species
UCCUUUAGCUGCUUGUAAGGGCUCAGUUGUCUCACCAUUAACCACUACUGUAUAGCUAACAGUUUGAACACAUUCCAUGAUCCAUCUUGUAAAUCUGGGAGGGAAAUCCAAUGCUUCCAUAACCUGCUGUAAGUAGCACCAUUCUACUGAAUCAUUGGCUUUCUGCAAAUUAAUUUUGAUCAUACACCUGGGAGAGAUAUGAGACCUGGUAUAAUGCUUUAUUAAUGUGCUAAGAUGACAUUAUCUGCUAUUCUCCUGCCUGGAAUAAAGCCUGCCUGUGCAUUACAGAUAAUACUACUCAUGACUUUCUG